rnacentral:rRNA from 1 species
GACGAACCACACAAACGUUAUUCGGAAUUACUGGGCUUAAGGGUGCGUAGGCGGCGCGGUAAGUCGGGUGUGAAUCUCGGAGCUUAACUCCGAACUGCAUUCGAUACUGCCGUGCUUGAGGACUGGAGAGGAGACUGGAAUUUACGGUGUAGCGGUGAAAUGCGUAGAUAUCGUAAGGAAGACCAGUGGCGAAGGCGGGUCUCUGGACAGUUCCUGACGCUGAGGCACGAAGGUCAGGGAGCAAACGGG